CUUGGUUCACUUAUGUACCUAAAUGGCACCGAAUUUAGCCAUAUUAUACAUUCCUUAUUCUACAUUGAUACAUAUGCUGUCCGUAACAAGUAAACACCAUGCUUCAUAUAUAAGUAAUAAACUUUGAAAAAUAAUGUGUUGUUGUGUUUAUAUAUUACUCCAAACAUGCCCCACUUUCCAAAAAAAUGUGAAUUUUCCAUGAAAUUUGAGACUUUAUUUAUGAUUUUCGCCUUGGCGGCAUCCUUUACCAGUCUUAAUAUUUUAACCACUACUUCGUACAUUAAAAACCAACAAAAAGUGCAAAAAUCAUCGCUGGUGAGCAAUGCCGCCAUAUUCAAAAACGAAAAAAAAAACGUCCGUAUCAGAGACACAUUUUUAUCCGAAAUUACACAAGCCUCGAUUUCGGUAAAAUGACGUUGAUCAAUGUUGACGUCACUUAAUUAGAUGUUUAUUUUUCAUUAAUUUGUUUUUCAAGCAACAGCCAUUAGUGUUAAAAUCAAUAAUAUCGGACGAAGAUUUUUAAGUUUAAACUUUAGUUAUAUCGCACUAGCCUAAUGAGUGAAUUAGCGAAUUGUUUCCCUUUGAAAUCAACACGCCAUUAUCGGUGGAUACAUGUCUGAAACUGGGUCAGAGAAUACAUGCAGUUAUUGCUCUGAAUAUACGCGGAUAUUUAAAGUGCAUGGCGGAUUUAUUAAUUGUUAGGGAUAACCUCCAGCAGUAAUAAUAUAGAGGCUCACUGCAACUGCUCAACAAGUAUUGACCCCAUACUAUGCUCAGCAAGUAGGGCCCUUGUAUUUCUGUGAAUCCUCAUGCAGUACAGUACUGCUGUUGGAAGAGGAGCAAACAGUGUGGUAUCUAUGGUCCAGCAUCACUUCAAGCAUCAUGGCUAUGGAGAAAAGAAUGUUUCAUUACAUAUGGACAAUUAUAGUGGACAAAAUAAGAAAAGUAUUGUAAUAAGCUAUGGAAUGUGGCUUGUUAUGAUGGGUCUACAUGAUGACUUGGAGUACAACCUGAUUGAGGCCCGGCAUACAUAAUUCAGCCCUGAACAUGUUUAGAAUGUCUUCUGCAUGACCUAGUAUAGUAUUCUUGAAGGAUUAUAACUUCAACACAGAGACGGAGAUUAAUAUUUUUAGGCAGGGGGUUGGCAUGACAAGCAAAUUCACCAACCGUAUUACCACUCCUGAGUUAGAAGCUAGUCGACAGUGGUACCUGUAUAAUGAAAAAGUGCCCCUUUGCAGCAACAGCAAUGUAUGCUCAAAACCAGCAGUGUCAAAGCCAUUAAAAUUGAGAACUCGAGUCAUUUAAAACGAAGAAUGAAUGGAAAAAAGUGUUUAACAUUUAAAGUAAUACAGAGAAAGAGCUCUGAAAUUUUGAUUAAUUUGAAAGUGUUUUUGAUUAAUUUGAAAGUGUUUUUGAUUUUUUGAAGAUGUACUAGACCCAAAUUCCAUAUAUUUGAAAAAAGAAUAAAUGAUACAUAUAGUUUACAGUACUAUGCAUUUGUUAAAUAUUGACACACUAUAUACAUGUAAGGCUGAACACAGUAUAAAUGUGAAAUUCCUCUAAAACACUGGAAGAUUUUUCAACAAUAAUUGUAACAUAUAUUGUAGUAAUAUACAUUUUUUUUCAUUACGACAGUUGGACUAUAUAGAUCUACGAAUAUGUUCUGCAUGUAAUCAUUUCAGUCGGCAGUAUCAUGUUCAUUUUCCCUUUUCAUGAACAAUUAAUUUAACAUGUCUGAAAUCACAAUAUGUGUGUAAUUUGUAAAACAUACAUUGGAUUAUUGUGGAAACAAUUUAGUUUUUGUAUGCCUAAUUGUUAUUGCCGUUAGUAAUCUAACUCUUUUAAUAUGAUCAAGCAAUUUAAAAAGGCAGUUUUCUUAAACUAUUACUGUGUGUUAAAUGACAUUAUGUAGUAUAAUGUUUACGGAAUUAACUGCGUAACCAUGGAAACAUUUUUCUGUUAUUCUAUAUUAUGUCUCGAAAAAAAAACAUUGUUUGAAGAACACCUUUUAGUGAUGCAUUUUUUUAUUUUUACAUGUAAUGGUAAAUGCUGAGUGUUCUACAAUAACUUAGCAAAAACGUCAUUGUUGUCUCAUUGAAGCAUGUACUGCAACUCCAUUGUAACCAUAGCAACAGAAAUAUAUUGUAUUAUUUAUGAAUAAUGAUCUUCACAAACAAAUUACAUAUGUUUUUUUUCUAAAAGAAUGACCUAAAUUGGUUUUAUUCCACAAAAAACAGACAUAGCAAAUAUUCUCAUUUUUAUCUCCGUUUCCAUGGCAACCAUAUUUCUUUUUGCCUGAAAUUAUAGGCGUUGCUUAGGGUUAUAUCUUAGCAUAUGUGAAUGUUAAUUAUGCAUUCUGAUGUAAUUGUUAUAAGCGAUUUUCAUGUUUCCAUAAAGAAAAUCAAUCGGUUGCCAUGGCAACAGCACAAUUUCAAAUGAAUUAAAAUAUGAGAUUUUGCAUUCUGAGUUGUUGAUCAUUCAUUAUAAUAAUAUUUCAACAACAUUUGAUGUUGUGCCAUUUUCACCUAUAAGUGAACCAAGCCCUUUACUGACUGAAUAGCGAACAGUGCAGACCAUGAUCAGACUACAUGGAUGUGCAGGCUGAUCUUGGUCUGCAUUGGUCGCAAAGGCAGAAUCACUUGCCGCCAUCAGGCUAAAGGUUAACAUUUAUUUAGCAAGUACUAACUAAGUACUGAAAUUAUAAGAGUAACAUUCCAAUAUAUUUUCAUUUUGAAUCUUGAACUGCAGACCAGUUUGCAUUUCGCAGUUCAAAUCGUGAACUGCGAACUGCAGACCAGUUUGCAGUUCGCAAUUCGAACCGGAAACUAAGAACUGCAGACUAGCCGGCAGUUUACAAUUCUAACAGAGGGUGAAGGGGUGCAGACACUUAACCUCUAUUUAACAACCACUUACUAAGUACUAUAAUUAAAAAAGUAACUAGUAACAUUCCUUGUACUUUCAUUUUGAAUCGUUAACUGCAGACCAUUUUGCAGUUCGCAAUUCGAUUCGGAAACAGAACUGCAUGUUAGUCGGCAGUUUGCAAUUUUUAUUCAGAGACAGGCGGUGCAGACACUUAACCUCUUUUUAGCAACCAUUUUCUAUGUAUUAAAAAGUAAGAGUAACGUUCGAAUAUACUUUCAUUCUGAAUCGUGAACUGCAGACCAGUUUGCAGUUCGCAAUUCGAAUCGAAAACUGAUAACAGCAGACUAGCCGGCAGUUUGCAAUUCUAAUAGAACGGAGGGAGUGCAGACCCAUAACCGCUAUUUAACAACCACUUUUAAGUACUAAAACUAUUAUAGUAAUUUUCCUUGUACCUUCAUUUUGAAUCGUGAACUGCAGACCAGUUUGCUGUUCGCAAUUCGAAUCGUGAACUGCAAACCAGUCUGCACUUCGAACUGCGAACGGCAGAUCAGUUUGCAGUUCGCCAUUCGAAUCGUAAACUGCGAACUACAGACUAGUCUGCCAUUUGCAAUUUUAUUUGACCCUCGAAUUGUGAAAUGCAUUCUAGUCCGCAGUUUGCAUGGCAGUGCUGAUCAGACCAGUUUGCAGUUCGCCAUUUUGCAAUUCGAUUCCAAAGCUAUGGGCUUCGAAUUGUGAAAUGGAUUCUAGUUCGCACGGCAGUGCUGAUCAGACUGCACUUAAAUAUAUGAAUCGUGAACUGCGGAUCAGUUUGCAGUUCGCAAUUCGAAUCGCGAACUGCAGACCAAUCUGUAGUUUGCAAUUAGAUUCCAAAGCUAUGGGCUUCGAAUUGUGAAAUGCAUUCUAGUUCACACGACAAUGCUUAUCAGACUGCACUUUGAAAUUUGAAUCGUGACCUGCGGAUCAGUUUGCAGUGCGCAAUUCGAAUCGCGGACUGCGAACUGCAGACCAACUUAACUCAAAUAACUUAAAGGUCAAGGUCACACUCGGAAGCCAAAAGUCAACAUGACGUUUUUUCCUGUAUGCUCCGUAAGGGAUUUUACUUUUACUUGGAACAAAAAUUAAUGUUCCUCGUAUAAAGGCGACGUGUCAUGGCGAUCCACGCUCAAUGGUGAAAAUCACACUUUGAGGUCAAAAGUUUGCAGUGUCUGUUUUGUGUCCGCUCCAUAACUUUCCGUUUUCCUUUCUGUUGCCAUAGUUAUCUUUUCUUAGUUAUACAUAGAUGAUUUACAUUGAUAUACAUGUCUUCAUAUAACAUAACAUAUUUCCAUCACGUACAUGCAUUUAAAACUAAUAUUGGCAUGAGGCUCAUUAGUCUCGGAAAGUUCUCUGUUGUUAUGUCAUAGAGAGCAUGAUAAACACCCAAAGGAAUCGAAAUAUUUUUGAUGCAAAAAUAUAAAGAAACUUAAUUCACGUCGCUGAAAUUCAAACCAACACGGAAAGAGAUCUCUUUUGAACAUAGUUAUUAGGCUUUUUAUAAUGGUAAGUUUGACAAAUAACAAAAUGUUGAAUUACAUAUGCUUCAUAUUACUCUAUUUAUAGUUAUGUUUGUACACAUCGCGUUUAAAACAUCGUUGGAGGUCUUUACUUCAUUUACAUGUUUAUCAUACGUCAUACGGUGUUUGGACAAUUUUUGGUGGGU